UUUUUUUCUUCUUUUCUGUUCGUCGUUUGUCUUUUUCGUCGGAUUUUCCACGGUUAUUUUCUGAUCGCGAUUUCUGAUCCAAUUUUCGUUUUAGUAUAACUUUUCGCUCGUUUAUCGGAAUCAGGCGAUUCAAGCGCCUGGAGUUUCGUCUCGAAACCCUCUUUCCGAAUAAUCAACUUAAACAAGUUUUUGCUACUGUAAAAUUUGACCUAGAUCCAGAUUACUAGAACGUAGUUGAUUUCUUUCGCCGUUUGAUUUCUUUUGCUUCGUUCGAUUUGAUUCUUUUUGCAAACCAGGGUUCUUAAGUUGAACUUUCUGGUUAGAUCUUCUAUUUGAGUUUUACCUGUGCAUUAGAUGAGUACUUAUUGUAUGCUUGUUUUUUUGUCUGUGAUAGAAUACCCGGAGUGCGCCGCCUGUUACUUCGAAUCUCUAGGUUUCGCGGAUCAUUAGCAAGGCAAGUAACACUUUGAUCAUACCUUUUCUACACCCCAGUUUUAUUGCAUUAGAUCAAUCCUCACACAUUGCAUGAUUAGGAUCUAAUUAAAUUGUGGGAUGGGAAGUAGAUGAGGUAGUACCUAUUACCUGUAUUGUUAUGAAACCUUUGGGAGUUACUUCUACGUUUGCUUAUUAUGCCAUGCUAUGCUAGUAGACGUGGAUUGGGUGAGUGAUAUCCAUGACAGAUGUGAGUUUGUUAAUUUUAAUGGUUUACUUAAGGUGGCAACUUAAAUACACAUCUGGGUGGAUUGAGGCACCUGGUUUCUAUCAGGACUUGCCUGUUUUUCUUUUGGACCGCCACCCAGGCUCAAAGGGAUCAUAAGAUUAUUCAUACUAGAAACUUCCGUGUGCAGCCACAAGCCAUUAUGGGCUCUGGCAUAGCUGAUUAAGUCGUGCGAACUCUUACAAGGUAGACUAGCAGAUGUAGGAGAAAGUAGGUGUACCGGUCUAUCCAACGUAAGGUGCUAGCGCUUCUGAAAGACUAUGUCUCGGUCAUCCGUUUCUCAAACACCAUGUAGUGCGAGAAAUCCAACGGAGGCGAUCGAGUCUUGUGCGGAAAAGUGCGCAAACCUCUGCAGAGUGUAACAAACUAAUCAUGGUUAGCCGUGUCCCCGGUUAUGGACAUCUUGAGUAUCUAGUACCUGGAUUAUCAUGUGAAUCUCAACAUGUUACUCUAAAGUUAAUAUUGUUGGGUUUUGUUUAAUGAUGAUGCUUAAUUGGGAUUGAGAAUGCUGUCAACCAUUCUCAAUGUUUAACAACCACCAUGAUAGUAAUUAAAUUUUAUUCCUUUGAAGUAGGGAAAAAUUGGCUUUACGCAAAACUGUAACCAUAGAGCUUUCCACCAGCCAAAUAUGCAUAUAGUAUAGCUAUUGCAUUUCAUUACUCUCUAUGUGUUACCUUGCCAGCAUAUUCCAUGUGCUGACCCGUUCUCGGGCUGCAACGUUAAUGUUGUAGACUUUUUAGACGAUGAUUAAGGAGUUUUUAGGUUGUGGUUCUAUACUCAGUGAUGCCGUUGGAGUUGAUGGACUCACUUAUCUUCCAAGCCUUCCGCUGUUAUCGUUAUUAGAUGGCCUUACGCCAUAUUUAUUGUAAUAAGUUCUCUUUUGAGACACUCGAUGUAAUAAGUGUGUGAUUGCUACUCUGCUAUAAAUCCUCCGAGUACUAUGUGGUGUCAGCAUUACUGAUCCAGGGAUGACACCGGAGCACAAAGAUCAGACUGUUUGAGGUCUGGUCGCUACAGAGAUGGUAUCAGAGCACACGCUGACUGUAGGACACGACCACUAAGCUAAAAGACCUAGAUCACUACUCACUCUCUUCUCUUCUAACUUCUCUUCUUUUCUACUCUUUAGGAUGGUAGAUGCAAGGAACAAGUUCACACAACCAGAUGAAGAUACACCCUUUAGACGCCACUUGAAGGAAGUCACUAGAUACCUUAACAUAGGAGUACCAAGCUUCACGGGAACCUACAACGCCACUUUACCCGAAGAAGAGCGCUGGAUGAUUCAAGUUCAAGUUCCAGGAAGGACGUUCAUGCCAGUCACUGAGCCCAUAGAAUUUUCUUUUGAUGCACCAACUUGGAGUCUAGGAAAGAGUAUGGCAGCUCACAUCGCCAUGGGACGCAUUGGAGAAGUCUACCGCAAGGAUCUCAAGGAUACUAUCUACCAGAUUUGCGGAUGCCGAGAUGAACACUGGGAGAUGAUCAGCACCAGGAAAGAUAGAUCAAUUGCAGCUUUUAUCCAGGAGUUAAACCAGCACAUUCGACGACAGGAGAAUCAGAUGUGCGCCGACAUGAUAGAUCUGAAGAAGGCUAAGACUAGAAUCAAGGAACUGGAGGAAGAACUCAAGGCUACACGAGAAGAUUAUGAAGAAGAAAUUGAAGUAUUGGUGGAGAAGAAUGACAACCUGAUCAAGAAGAUUGGAAUAUUUAUGGGAGACCCGACACCAGUAGAUGAAGACGAAGAACCCAAGGAGAUUAGCCCGGAAGACUACAUCAUCAUCGACGGCACUGACUCGGAAGCAGAUAGUAGCGAUGAUAACUAUGUUGAUGAAGCAGGAGCCGAUAUCAUGGAGUCUACAACCGUAGAAUAUUUCUAGUAGACCACCUCACCAGUAGUAGUAGUCCACCAUGUAAAUUUAGUAGUCCGAGCACUUUUGCGAUAGCUAGAUCGAUUGUAUGCCUUUGUUUGAUUGAAUGAAGUGAAUUGUUUGCUUUUGCCUCAUGUGCAUAUGGGUAGUGUUUUCUCUUUAGACCCCUCUACUCUUAUAUCUCAUCUUUUCUAAACCCUCAGAUGCCUCCGAGACGUGACCCCGGAUUUGCCUUUCCGCUGGAGCUCACCCAGUUGAUCCAGCAGCAGAACACCUUGAUGCAAUUGCUAGUUUAGAAUCAGAAUCAGGGGAACAACAACAACAACCCACCACCACCACCACCACCACCACCUAUUGACCACUUAGCCCGUUUUCUUAGGCUAAAUCCGCCGAUGUUUUCCAGUAGCACCGAGCCGAUAGUAGCAGAUGAUUGGCUCCGCAAGACAGCUAGGGAGUUGACCACAGCAGGAUGCACAGAUGCGGAGAAGGUGAAGUUUGCCGCACAUCAGUUAGAAGGACCCGCAACAUCAUGGUGGGAGAAUUUCACAGCCACCUUCCCAGUCGACACUGUCACAUGGGACCAGUUUCAGCAGGCUUUUCAUACUGCCCAUGUUUCAUCAGGAGUAAUGGCCAUGAAGAAGCGUGAGUUUCAUAACUUAUGCCAAGGAGGACGGACAGUUGGCCAGUAUGUGGAGGAGUUUAGUAAGCUAGCACGUUAUGCCCCAGAUGACGUUGCUACGGAUGCAGCUAAGCAGGAGAAAUUCCUGGAAGGACUGAAUGUUGAGUUGAGUAUGCAGUUGAUGGUAGCCACCUUCAACAACUACCAGGAGUUGGUAGAUCGUGCUCUUAUGAUUGAAGGGAAGCAGCAGCAAAUUGAGAACCGCAAGAGGAAGUACCGGUGGUAAAGGAUUUUCCUGAUGUAUUUCUAGAAGAGUUGCCAGGCAUGCCACCAGAUAGAGAUAUUGAGUUUUUGAUUGAGCUUUUGCCAGGCACUUGGCCAAUAUCGAAGAGAUCAUACAGGAUGCCCGCAAAGGAUUUGGUGGAAAUUAAGAAGCAGAUUAAGGAGUUACUGGAAAAAGGUUACAUUCGCCCAAGUUCUUUGCCUUGGGGAUCACCAGUACUUCUAGUGGAGAAGAAGGAUGGAUCGUUAAGAAUGGUUGUUGACUAUCGAGGACUGAACGAAGUAACAAUCAAAAACAAGUACCCACUACCAAUGAUCAAUGAUCUGUUUGAUCGAUUGCAAGGGGCUAAAGUUUUUUCCAAGAUCGAUUUGCGAUCAGGGUACCAUCAGUUGAAGAUUCGAGAACAGGAUAUUCCUAAGACAACAUUCACCACAAGAUAUGGACUGUAUGAGUAUACCGUUAUGUCAUUUGGACUGACUAACGCGCCUGCCUAUUUUAUGAAGAUGAUGAACAAAGUGUUUAUGGAGUUUUUGGAUAAGUUCAUCGUAGUGUUCAUCGAUGAUAUCUUGGUUUAUUCAAAGAAUGAAGAGGAACAUAAGGAGCAUUUGCGUUUGGCACUUGGAAAGCUCAGAGAACAUCAAUUAUAUGCCAAGUUCAGCGAAUGUGAGUUUUGGUUGAAGGAAGUAGGAUUCCUCGGACACAUUAUAUCUGGAGAAGGUAUAGCUGUUGAUCCCACUAAAGUUGAUACCGUGACCAAGUGGGAAGCACCAACAACAGUUGGAGAGAUCCGGAGUUUUCUUGGACUCGCAGGAUACUACCGGAGGUUUAUUGAGAACUUUUCAAAGAUUGCGAAGCCUUUGACGGAGUUGUUGAAGAAGGAUACUAAGUUCAAAUGGACUGAGGAGUGUGAGGCUAGUUUCCAGGAGUUGAAGAAACGUUUGGUUACCUCACCCGUAUUGAUUCUGCCAGAUCAGACCAAGGAUUAUGAGGUGUAUUGUGACGCUUCACGUCGAGGACUUGGAGCAGUGCUUAUGCAGGAAGGAAGAGUUGUUUCGUAUUCUUCACGACCACUGAAGCCUCACGAAUUGAAUUAUGCCACGCAUGAUUUGGAGUUAGCAGCCGUAGUGCAUGCAUUGAAGACGUGGAUACAUUUCCCCAUUGGAAAUCAUUGUGAGGUGUACACGGAUCACAAGAGUUUGAAGUACAUUUUCACGCAGAAGGAGUUGAACCUCAGACAAAGGAGAUGGUUGGAGCUCAUCAAGGAUUAUGAUAUGAGAUUGCAUUACCAUCCCGGAAAGGCUAAUGUAGUAGCUGACGCAUUAAGCCGUAAGAGUCAUGUCAAUACGUUAAUGACGGGAGAAAUACCCAAGGAGUUAGCAGAAAACCUUCGUGAGCUAUGUUUGGAGAUAGUUCCGAGAGGCUAUGUGGCAGCAUUGGAGAUUCAGUCAACAUUGAUGGAUAAAAUCAGAGAGGCUCAGAAAUCUGACAAGGAGAUUGCUUCUAUAAAAUAGAAAAUGAGCCAAGGAAAAGCUAAAGGAUUUCGUGAGGAUGAGCACGACACCCUAUGGUUUGAAGACCGUGUUUAUGUACCCAAUGACCCGGAGAUCAGAAAGUUGAUUCUGCAAGAGGCACAUGAUUCACCGUAUUCGAUUCACCCAUGAAAUACCAAGAUGUAUUUGGAUUUGAAGGACAUUUUCUGGUGGAUCGGAAUGAAGAAGGAUAUUGCGGAGUAUGUAGCAGUUUGUGACAUAUGUUAGAGAGUAAAAGCAAAGCAUCAGAAGCCAGCAGGAUUGUUGCAACCAUUGCUGAUACCCGAAUGGAAGUGGGAUAAGCUAGGCAUGAAUUUUAUCACGGGAUUACCAAGGACUCGUUCAGGCUAUGACUCGAUUUGGGUUGUAGUCGAUCGAUUGACAAAAGUAGCUCAUUUCAUCCCAGUAAAGACCACUUACACCAGUGCUAAGUUGGCAAAGAUAUACAUGACCAGGAUCAUAUAUUUGCAUGGAGUUCCGAGGAGUAACGUAUCAGAUAGAGGAACCCAGUUUACCUCAAAGUUCUGGAAGCAGUUGCAUGAGACUUUGGGUACUAGGCUAGAAUUUAGUACAGCUUUUCAUCCGCAGACAGAUGGACAGACCGAGAGAGUCAAUCAGAUUUUGGAGGAUAUGCUGAGAGCUUGUGCGCUAGAUUAUGGAUCUAGUUGGGACGAUAAUUUGCCAUAUGCAGAGUUCUCUUACAAUAAUAGCUAUCAGACUAGUUUGAAGAUGGCCCCUUUAGAAGCUUUAUACGGAAGGAGGUGCAGGACACCGUUGUCAUGGGACGAAGUUGGAGACCGCCAGUUGUUUGGACCAGAUCUGAUUAAAGAGUCUGAACAGAAGGUGAAGUUGAUUCGUGAUAGGCUCAAGGUAGCCCAGUUCAGGCAGAAGAGCUACGCAGAUUCUAAACGCAAGGAGACAGUUUACGAAGUCGGAGAUAGAGCUUAUCUUCGAGUAUCCCCGCUUCGAGGGAUUAAGCGCUUUGGAGUUAAGGGGAAGUUAGCGCCACAAUUUGUAGGGCCAUAUCGAGUUUCGGAGCGUAUGGGAGAAGUGGCCUACAAGUUGGAAUUGCCCGAAGGAUUGUCAGGAGUUCAUGAUGUGUUCCACGUUUCUCAGUUGAAGCAUACCUUUGAGAGACACAGUGCCAUUGGAAACAAUUCAGUUGGAUAACAAUUUGACCUAUGAGGAGAAACCAGUCAAGAUUCUCGAGUUUGCCAGCCGAGUCACUCGCAGCAAGGUUAUCAAGUUUUGCAAAGUUUAGUGGAGCCACCACACGAAGGAUGAAGCCACCUGGGAACGAGAGGAAGAUUUGCUCAAAGACCACCCUCACCUAUUUUCUAGCCAACCCGAAUCUCGAGGGCGAGAUUCAUCUUAAGGGGGGUAGGUUUGUAACAUCCCAAAUUUUCAAUUUGGAAUGUUAUACAUUAGGUCAUCAUGCAUAUCAUAUUUUAUUUUGCUUUUGGUUUUGAUCCUAGAAAAUCCUAAGCAACUCAAGGACCCACGGAGAGAGUUGGGGAUUUCGUUAUUUACAUAUUUGAGUUUUCUCAAAUUGUGUAAACAGGAUCGUUUGAUUUUAUUUAUUUUAUCAUCAAUUAUUUCUAUUAGAAAAAUAUGAGAGAGGGAAUAAAAUGACUUUCCCAAAAUAUAGAAAUAUUGAGGAUUUAAUAAAAAAAUCAAAUAAGAUUUAUUUCGGAGUUUUUCGGUAUUUUUAUUUGAAUUUAGGAAAAAUACGCGUGUUUCAAAAUUGCAUUUAGGGCCCAAUAAAAUGUUCACUUCAUCAGGCUUGAUUUUAGAAACCCGGCAAAAUUUAUUUCGUGAUUUUUGGAGUCAGUUUAGUAUUUCUUUUUAUUUUUUUCCGAGUGUAAUUAUUUAAAAAAACGAAACCGACUUUGGGCCGUACCCGAGCGGGACUCCGCUCGGGGGUGCCUUUAUAUAGCGAAGCGCCCGAGCCCCAGCCCACAGCCCCGCCCCAAACCCUAGCCUAGCCGCCACCGCCGCCGCCGCCGGAGCGCGCGCCGCCCGAGGUUCGCCGCCGCCGCCUCGAUUUCCGUGCAGUUUUUUUUUAAAAAGGGAAAAAUAUAUUUUUUUUCUUCUUUUCUAUUCGUCGUUUUCUUUUUCGUCGGAUUUUCCGCGGUUAUUUUCUGAUCGCGAUUUCUGAUCCGAUUUUCGUUUUAGUAUAACUUUUCGCUCGUUUAUCGGAAUCAGGCGAUUCAAGCGCCUGGAGUUUCGUCUCGAAACCCUCUUUCCUAAUAAUCAACUUAAACAAGUUUUUGCUACUGUAAAAUUUGACCUAGAUCCAGAUUACUAGAACGAAGUUGAUUUCUUUCGCCGUUUGAUUUCUUUUGCUUCGUUCGAUUUGAUUCUUUUUGCAAACCAGGGUUCUUAAGUUGAACUUUCUGGUUAGAUCUUCUAUUUGAGUUUUACCUGUGCAUUAGAUGAGUACUUAUUGUAUGCUUGUUUGUUUGUCUGCGAUAGAAUACCCGGAGUGCGCCGCCUG
rnacentral:lncRNA from 1 species